UACGGGGGGGGCAAGCGUUGUUCGGAAUUACUGGGCGUAAAGCGUGCGUAGGCGGUUCGUUAAGUCUGUUGUGAAAGCCCUGGGCUCAACCUGGGAACUGCAGUGGAUACUGGCGAGCUAGAGUAUGGUAGAGGAAGGUGGAAUUCCCGGUGUAGCGGUGAAAUGCGUAGAGAUCGGGAGGAACACCAGUGGCGAAGGCGGCCUUCUGGACCAGUACUGACGCUGAGGCACGAAAGCGUGGGGAGCAAACAGG
rnacentral:rRNA from 1 species